rnacentral:tRNA from 1 species
GGGUGUAUAGCUCAGUUGGCAGAGCAUUGGGCUUUUAAUCUAAUGGUCGCAGGUUCAAGUCCUGCUAUACCCA